rnacentral:tRNA from 1 species
ACAUAAUUAGUUUAAUAAAAGAAUGGCAGUUUGUCGUGCUGUUGGCGGGGUUACUCAUUAUGUG